rnacentral:lncRNA from 1 species
AUUCUUCUUGUCCAAAUGGAGCCCAAUUUCAAAUCCACCACAAAGGCCCAAUUUCAAGACCCUUAUUCUUCAUAAUCUACACAAAAAACAAAUCCUAGAGGACAUCUUUAGGUACCCAUGGCUACCAUCUUCAACCUUAGAAACGAAGGCAAAAAAAAAAAAACCCUAAAAAGGAUCUAACAUAAGACACUUGCGGCUGCCUUCUUCUUCUUCUUCUUUGACAAACAAAGGAAAAAAAACCCUAGCUAAACCCUGACACUCCUAAGCUGCCGGCCUGAUCUCCUCUCGACACCACCAGAGCCGCCGCCGCUCCUCACCACUCACACAUACACAUAUCUUCACCUCCGCUGGAAACCAGAUGCCAGACAACCACCACUCCAACUCCAUAACUAUUGCUCCUCCAUGGCUCUUGAAUAAUCACCAGUCGUCCCUUUGUUUCAGCCAUGACCCGCCACCCCUCAACCUAAAAACCCGUCGGACAGAAGACCAGCACAGCCACUGGAACGAGACACCCCCCUUAAUUUUCGUCCUCUUCACCCUGAUCUCCUCUUCUAAAAAACAAGAACCAGUCGUCGCUCUGUUCAGUCGCUAAAGUAAUGUUCUUAGGAAUGAGUGUCUUAGGUUGGCGCGACUUUGUUUGUGUGCGCUUCCAUCAGAAAAUGCUUUUUCAGCAAUUUUCUAUGCUCUAAUGCCCUUUUUUUCAUUUUCUAUACGCUGUGCUUUGGUUGAAUUUUUCAGCGAUUUGCAUCUUCUCGUUCUAUUCCUGUCGUUCUUUUUCGGGAAAUACUGUCCUUGCUCCUUUGAGACCAUCUUCAGUCAUUAAUUGGCAUUUGAAUUUCUGGUGAGUUCCAAGUUCGUCCAAAGUCAUAGUGUGAGGUUUCUGGGCAUAUUCACGGUUCCUACUCGAGCUUUAAGUACUGUAUUUGUUCGUGAUUGUGUUCUCUACCGAAGUUCAUUUUCAUAUUUGUUCAUUUGAGCCCAGAAAAUUAUUGACAGAAGUCAUCUUUUGAGAUUCAUUUCUAACUCUUAUGCUUUAAAUGUGAGUUUUGAUUGCUAUAUGUGUGAUUGAUGGCAUUGCAUUUGCUGUGGGCUUUGCAGACAAAAAGCUAUUGUCUUUUGUCUAUUUUGUUAGGUAGUUUGCUGUGUUUCUUAUUUGUUUUUCUUUUGGUCUUGUAGAAGUGGGG